rnacentral:rRNA from 1 species
UGGGGAAUAUUGGACAAUGGGGGCAACCCUGAUCCAGCGAUGCCGCGUGUGUGAAGAAGGCCUGCGGGUUGUAAAGCACUUUAGUUGGGGAGGAAAGGUAUGUACUGCAUAAGUGCAUGCUGUGACGUUACCCAAAGAAUAAGCACCGGCAAACUCUGUGCCAGCAGCCGCGGUAAUACAGAGGGUGCAAGCGUUAAUCGGACUUACUGGGCGUAAAGGGUGCGUAGGCGGUUAAAUAAGUUAGAUGUGAAAUCCCCGGGCUUAACCUGGGAAUUGCAUUUAAUACUGUAUGACUAGAGUAGAGUAGAGGGAAGUGGAAUUUCCGGUGUAGCGGUGAAAUGCGUAGAUAUCGGAAAGAACAUCAGUGGCGAAGGCGGCUUCCUGGACUCAUACUGACGCUGAGGCACGAAAGCAUGGGGAGCAAACAGGAUUAGAUACCCCAGUAGUCCCUGAGCGGGCUGGCAAGGCGCAU